CAACUUCAGUUCAAACCACCACAACUACACCACCAACCACAACACCUACACCACAAACCACAACAAGCACAGCACAAACCACCACAACGACACUACCAACCACCACAACUACUACAAUACCAAUCAUAACAACGACACCAUCAACCACCACAACUACAGUACAAACCACAACAACUACAGCACAAACUACCACAAGCACAGCACCAGUCACCACAACAACAGCACAAACUACCACAACAAAACCACCAACUACCACAACUAUACCAUCAACCACCACAAGUGAAGCACCAACCACCACAAAUACAGCUCCAACCACCACGACUGCACCACCAGCUACCACCUCUACUGCAUCAACACAAAUUUCUACACCUGGGCCAUUCACGACAACCACAGCAUCGACCACGGUAUCUACAGCACCCAACCACAGUAAUAUCACUACAACAGCAGCACCAGCCUUCACAUCACUAGCACAUCUACGGCUGAAGAUAACUUCACUUGGAGAGGUCAGCAAUGGAACCAUCACUGAGCUCAUUAAAGAGUUGUUUAGAAACGAGUUCCUGAAUGGAACAGCACACGCAGUCACUGUGACAAACAUUCGAAGAGUUAGAGUUGGUCCAUAGAAGUGAAUGUACAGAGAAGGUAAUCCAAAAAUGUGCUUGAAUGUGAUUUUUUAUUUUGUUUUUUUAAACAAUCUAAUAUGAUGUUAUAGUUUAACUUUGUCAUUUUCUGGAAAGAUGGCCAAGUGUUUUCAUCAGUUUUCAAGUUCAAUGCAUAGUUCUUUGAUUAAAGACAGAAUUUUAGGUCAAAUGGCACAGUACUGAGUAAUGAGGCUGUCACUAAGAUCCAUCAAAGUGUCUUGUCAGAGGUCCCUGUGAUACCUAACUCCUGAACUAUAGAGGAAGGACAAGCUGUGUUAUCAGAAAACACAUUUCUAUAAAUGAAUGAGGAAACGUUUCACUUAAAAUGAAAGCAGCUUAAUGAGUUCCUCAUACCAAGUGUGACAUUUUGUAAUCCAGAUUCGUGGACUUCAGCUCUCAUGAGUUACUGAUAAAAUACACUGUGAAUCUAUUUGUUUCCUUUGGCAUUAAGAAUGAACCAGUUUUGUGUACAGACCUAUGAUUCCAGUUAAUAGAUUCAUUUGUUAGAGGUGCCUCUCAUGGCAUUUAAUUGCACAAAAUGUGACAUGCUGAGAUAAACAAUUUGUGAUUGCGGAUUUAUACGUGACAUUUAUUCUUUCUCUGUCUCUCUCUCUCUCUCUCUGCAAGUCUAUGUAGAAAAUGAAUGUAUAUAUUCUUUAAGUGUAGUCUUUAAGAGUAAGUCUUAUAUAUGAUAUAGACACAGAGCACUUUAUGAUCAUCACCGCUUGCUGUCACAUCCAAUACAAAACCAUAAUGUUUAACUUUAAUAAAUCUUAUACAUUUUUUUUCGGUUUUAUUUUGCAGCUUGGUUUAUUAUUUAAGCCAAAUAUGUGUUGUACUCUUUGACAUAGACACAACAAGAAAUUAUGAGUCUGUCGGAUUAUAUUGUAUGCUUUUUAAAGUUAAAUAAAGAGAUGUGUUCUUCUGU